rnacentral:rRNA from 1 species
UACGUAGGGGGCUAGCGUUGUCCGGAUUUAUUGGGCGUAAAGAGCGUGUAGGCGGCCAGGUAGGUCUGGUGUGAAAACUCGAGGCUUAACCUCGAGAUGUCAUCGGAAACCAUCUGGCUAGAGUCCGGAAGAGGAGAGUGGAAUUCCUGGUGUAGCGGUGAAAUGCGCAGAUAUCAGGAAGAACACCAAUAGCGAAGGCAGCUCGCUGGGACGUUACUGACACUGAGGCGCGAAAGCGUGGGGAGCGAACAGG